rnacentral:lncRNA from 1 species
AGCGGUGGAAUCUAUAAGAUUCACGAGGCGAAAACGGUGUUGGUUACACAAUAAUACUCUGCAUUAUAUGAGAAACUUUUGUUUUACUAAAUUAUUUUAUAUUGUCCAGUUAUAAAAAAACUAUUUUAUAUCGUCAAUUUGAUAAGAAAAUUAUAUUUGUAACCAAGUGGAAGGAAGAACCUAGCUACUCCCUCACUUGUUUCUUUUUAUUUACUUGAUUUAUUAUAUUUCUGCAUAGAAAGCCUAAAAUGUAUAGUGGCUUUUUGAUUCUUUUUUUUUUUUUAAGACUCGGCUUUUAGAUUCUUUGAUUGUAUGUAGUGGUAAAAAUCAGUUAUAGCAACAUGUAACAAAAUGAUCAAUUUCGAUGGACCAGCACAAACAAUAAUAAUUGUUAACAUGUCUUCAUUUAGCAACAAGGGUCUAAAAAUGGAAAUUAAUGCGCUUUGGCCAUCAUCACCACGAUAAAAUGUUGAAGAAGAAUCAUUCUCCAAACAUAUAAACUUUUGAAUAAAUUGGCAAAGAUCAGAUAUGGUAUGUUUUAAAGAUACGUGCAGCCAUUAUAU